rnacentral:lncRNA from 1 species
AAAUUUCAUGGGUUUAAAAUCAACAUUUUCAUCAUUCCAACAAUUCAAUCAAAUUUCAUGGGUUUAACAUCAUCAUUUCUAUAAUUCCCACAAUUCAAUGAGAUUUCAUGGGUUUAACAUCAUCAUUUUCAUCAUUCCCACAACUCAAACAAAUUUCAUGGGUUUAACAUCAACAUUUUCAUCAUUCUCAGUAUUCAAUCAAAUUUCAUGGGUUUAACAUCAUCAUUUCUAUAAUUUCCAUAAUUCAAUCAAAUUUCAUGGGUUUAACAUCAACAUUUUCAUCAUUCCCACAACUCAAUCAAAUUUCAUGGGUUUAACAUCAACAUUUUCA